GAGGGAUUGUGGGAGCCCCACCCAGCUCACCGGAAUCCAGCGACAAUUCUGCGAUUCGUUUGUCACUUGAGCUGUUGUUUGUUUGUUUGUUGUUUUUUUCACAGUUUGGAAUAUAUUUCUACCAACAAUUUCUAAAUUGACUGGUAAACUCAGCACACGGUGCUGCUGCACACCAGCAGGGAGGAUGGAGCAGAGCCAAGUUCUGAGUUCCAACUCUUCCUUGGGGUGCCCAGGCCCUGAUGCACUCCAGGUGGGAAAGGAUGAAAGGAAGUCUGAACAGGUG
rnacentral:lncRNA from 1 species